AAUAUUUAUUAUAUGCCUUCAUAAUAAAGUACAUUUCAUGUUAUUUCAAAUAAUCUUCACAACAACUCUCUGAGGUUAACACAAGGCAUACGAAAAUUCAACUGGUAAGUGACAGACAGGACCAAUUACCUAAUUGACUAUGCAAAGACAAAUAUGUAAUUUGCAGAUUUUAGUUGUGCACAGUACAAAUAAUCCUCAUUUUAAAAGUUAUUAAGAAUUUCAUGUUGGUUACAGAGAAGCAUUUAAGGCCUCCGGAGGCCUUCAGAGAGCCGGGUCUGUGUGACUGCACAGGUCUCACGUCCAUGAAGCCGGCCCUGGUGACAGAGCUGGGAUAUGAACCUCGCAGUCUGGCUCCAGAGCCUGAGUCCUUAAGUGCAAAGCAACCCUUCCUUCCUGCGCAGGACACAGUUUACUAUCCACCUCUGGGCCCCUCCUCAUCUGUAUCUUCAUCCCUUGAUUCUGGCCAAAGGCACCGAUUUGAUGAUUCUCUGCUGCCCUCUUGUGGGCAGAGUCCAUGCAGCCACACCUGCUUCGGGGAUGGGGCCAGGUCUGCACCCCAGGCCGAGACUCCCCACCACGUCCCCAAACAGUGUGACCAUGCCUGAGCUGACACAUCCAGGGACGGCAUUCAGAGUAAUCUCUCGGCUCUUGCAGCCUCUGGAGUCCUAGCCAUGCAGGGGCUGCUUGGGUGGGAGCUUCCCAAAUCUUAUUCCUCCUUCAAACUGAGACUAAACUCCUUCAGGCCCAAGUGGUCUCCCAGCCUCUAAGACAGAACUAAUCCAGUUCCCGCACCUGGGAAGUGCUCAGGAAGCUCCACUCACAUAGCAUUUCUCUGCAAAGCGUCUGUCCUCUGCCUCUCACCUGGGCGGGUCUAAGACUCCUAUCAAGUCUCCUGCCUCUGUUCUCCACCCUACAGGGCCAGAGUGAUGCAUCUGAACGGCCACAACUGUCAUCACCUCUCUGUACACGCACCCUUUGUGAUGCGAUUCUGCAGGUCCACUCAUUCAGUCUGGGCUGGCCUCUUUGACUUGCUUUGACAGUAAAAUGUGGGGGAAGUGAUGGUGUGCCAGUUGUCAGCUCGGGACUCAAGAGGCUUUGCGUGUGUCUACUUGCUCUCUUGAGUCCACAUGACUGCCAAGUGAACAAGCCAGGCUAGCCUUCUGGAGAAUGAGACACCACAUGGAGGGGAGCCAUCUCGGGAGAGGCUGUCUCAGAACAGCCAGCCUCCAGCUGACCCACAGCUGCAGAUGCGUGGAUGAACCCAAUCAAGAUCAGCUGAGCCUGGUCCAGAUGAGCAGAACUGUGGAAGGCAGGGCCGACCAUGUGCCAGACACUCAUCUAGACUCUGGAGACAUACAGAGAAGUAAGUGGUUGUGCCUCCUGUCUGAAAAGUUGCCGGCCCCUGAAAGUUCAUGUCAACAAACUGUGACAGGAACCACUUUUCACUCCCCAGUGGAAAGUUCAAACAGUCUCUGAGACUCGUCCAGAGACGAAGACCUCCAGUCCUCCUGGCUUCCCUCAGCCUCUGCUUGGCAGCAGGACCCUGUGUUGGUGCCACCUGGCGGCCACAGUGCCCAUAUUCUAUUGUAAUCAGCUUCCUUUGUUGCUAAGAUACACUGUCAGCUCAGAGAAGGGGAGAGGGAACCUGGAAUGGGGAGAAAUGCUCUGCUCAGCAGACAUACCCACCUGCUCAGCCAGCUUAGAGGUGCUCUAUGAAUUCCACCCCCGGGUCUGUAUGUCCUCACUCUGCAGGAACUGAGUCCUAAAUCCCCAUAACUUGAGCCCAAGAGAAUAAUGAUAGCCCAUGGGACAGAGAACCCCUUCUCUAUGGGUCUCAUUCCAUGGUUUCCACAACAUCCCUCCCCACCUUUCUCAGCAGAUGAUGGAAUCCAGGGUGAGGAAGCUAUGGGAAGGGAGGCAUUGACCAGCAUCUUCCCCAUAUCCUUCUUGUCCUCCUCCUAAGAGAACCCUGAUUCUGUCAGAGAAGCAAUGUACUCAAGUUACAAAUUCUUACCCCGCCCCCCAGAGUCCCUUACAGCUAGAAGUUGCCAUGUUACAAAGAUCAGGCCAGUGAGAUGUAGGCAAACAUGCGGGUGUUCUAGAAAAAUCUAGUCUUCUCCAGAGUAAAGAGGCACAGACUCACCUGGCUUCUGCCUUUUUCCCUCUCUCUUUUUUUCCCUUCCUCCUGCCUGAAAGGUGGGCAAGAUGUCUGCAAGUGGAUUAGCCAUUUUCUCUCCAUGAGCAUGAGAACCACAUGCUAUGGAUGGUGGAACAAGAAGCUAGAAGGAUUCCAAAUUUUUCACAACUUUCUUAAGCAUCUCCAGAGCGUUCCCAGGUUUCUGUGCAUGUCCAGGCAGAGACCCUCACUAAAGUCCUUCUCCAGAACCAAGGGCACCUCUCUCUCUUCUUCCUGCUGAAGAACACCUCUCUCCCUGAUACAUUGCCUGCGUGUUACACAAAAUGAGAAAACCCCAUUCGUUGAGACCAUAGUUAGAUGUGUUACAUGCAGCCACUUGUCAUCCGUACACAUAUGUGCUGUGUGUGUAAUCUUUUUGGUUCUUGAUAGUGAGCCCGUAUGGACCCUAUUUCUGGCACAAGGAACAAGAAAGCAUGGGAUUGGGGUGUGCUUGGAGGAAGCCAGUAAAGGUAUUUCCCCUGGGAGACAGGAAAACUCUGUUCAAGAUUAACUCUCUCUUACUACGUGACAUAGGACAUGUCAUUUCUUCCUAGUACA